rnacentral:misc_RNA from 1 species
GAUGAAGAACGUAGCGAAAUGCGAUAAGUAAUGUGAAUUGCAGAAUUCAGUGAAUCAUCGAAUCUUUGAACGCACAUUGCGCCCGCCAGUAUUCUGGCGGGCAUGCCUGUUCGAGCGUCAUUACAACCCUCAGGCCCCCGGGCCUGGCGUUGGGGAUCGGCGGAAGCCCCCUGUGGGCACACGCCGUCCCUCAAAUACAGUGGCGGUCACGUCGAGCUUCCAUAGCGUAGUAGUAAAACCCUCGUUACUGGUAAUCGUCGCGGCCACGCCGUUAAACCCCAACUUCUGAAUGUUGACCUCGGAUCAGGUAGGAAUACCCGCUGAACUUAAGCAUAUCAAUAAGCGGAGGA